GUGAUCCUUUAAUUAAGAUGAGGUUUCUUUUGUACCUGGACUGUAUCUUUUUGAUGUGUUAGGAUAGAGAGGACAGGACUGGAGCAGAAACAAUGAAAGUUUGCUACUGUAUGAAUUCCCUCUCCUUAGCCUUAAUCCUGUCCUUAUUGGGGCCUUGGGUGGAAAGCUGAUAAUUUUGGUGAGCCCGAAAAGAAAGGCUAUGGCUUGAAUUCCUGCCACCAUCCUCUGGAUAAUGAACAGCCCUAAUGAAUGCGGGUGGGGAACCUGGGAAGAUUGAAUGUCCUCUGGAGUCCACGGGGGUUUCCAGGGGGAGAAGCAAAACAAAACGGAGCAUAGCGGCACAGUGGGACAGACUUUCCCAAGAUCCCCAGCUGGAUACCCCAAGAGAUCCAGCAGAAGAAAAACCAAAGCUGUAUAUGAGAUAAUUCUACAACACAGGGCAUCCAGUUUACCUAUGGAGAAAAUGAAGCUAAGGGUGAACUCAUGAUUUAAAGAUACAAACCUGAAAUAACAGCUGCAAAUAAAACCACAGAACAAAAGCA
rnacentral:lncRNA from 1 species